UACGUAGGGGGCAAGCGUUGUCCGGAUUUAUUGGGCGUAAAGAGCGUGUAGGCGGCCAGACAGGUCCGUUGUGAAAACUCGAGGCUCAACCUCGAGAUGUCGAUGGAAACCGUCUGGCUAGAGUCCGGAAGAGGAGUGUGGAAUUCCUGGUGUAGCGGUGAAAUGCGCAGAUAUCAGGAGGAACACCAAUGGCGAAGGCAGCUCGCUGGGACGGUACUGACGCUGAGACGCGAAAUCGUGGUGAGCAAACAGG
rnacentral:rRNA from 1 species